UUUUUUUGUCUUAUUAAUGUCAAGAGAGAGAGAGAUAAAGGUAUGGAAGCUUAUUUCCACUACGUAUGAGAAAAUGUUAUGCAGAAUGAUCUCACAAUUACCUUCUUUUUAUCUCACAUCCUGUUAACACACUCUCCAGGAGUGGCCCAGCCCCGCUGAAAAGAAUACUUCACUUAGGUUAUAUUGCCUCGCAACACAUUGCUAGGUUUUUGUUGUGGAUUGAUUAUGGGAAACGGAAGCACAGAGUCACAACUGUUAAAUAUUAACUCGCAGGUGAAACGUACAGUCGCAAUUGUGUGAAAAUAACGAGAUUUUUAGAGCUGCUAUAACAUAAAACGGGAACCAACUUGAUUCUUGGAUGUUCCACAACAUUCAACAUAUUAAUAAAUGAGUAAAAAUCACAUAUUCUUUAAUGAAUUAAUAUCCCACUUCAUCUCAGGCCACAUCACACCACCCCACCAUUGAAUACUUUCCUAUAACAUGCUCCCAAAGUGCUUUAUUCCUUAAACAAAACCAUAUGUCCUUCUUCUAAUGAACUCACUCAAACAUUUUAAAAAGAAGUCAAACAUCAGAUAUCCACGAAGACUGUGGAAGCAAAUUGUAGUAGUAUCUGUGGUACCUGCUCCUCUUUCAAUGUUCAUAAGGUGUAGUCUGCUCUAGUUUUAGCUGUUCAUGUAUUGUUCUUGUUUAUUGAUAUGAUGUUUGGUUAUGCUAACUGUACCCCCCCCCCCCUCUAGUUGACUUAAUUUAACCAAUGUUACUUCAUUAAUUUUGUGACUUACAUACUGAUAUCUUUCUAGUUCUAGGUUCAAGUUUGCAGUAACUGUCUAAAAUAUGAUUUAGUAUAACCUAAUUAUGACAUGAAAUCCAUGUAAUUGCUUCAGAAUUGAAGUAUAAACACUGAAAUGCUUAUUUUACCAGCCUAAUGGCUUCACCUAACUGCAAAAUCUAUCACUGGCAAACAUGGCUGCGCUUCCACAGCACAGAACAGUGUAAACUUUAAAAAAAAAUUUUUUGUGACUAACCUCAUUAACACACCAUUCAUUUGAAAUUGAAGGUAACAUUUUAUUUAAAAAAAUAAUAAUAAUGUAACAUUACAGUUUCUGCAUAAACCGUGAUCAAAGUUGAACUUCAAACUUCUGCAGUGUUCAGAAAUAACUAGCAGUUAAGCCUUACGUACCAGAUGAGGUAGACGCUUCCCCUCUUCAGGAAAAUAAUUAAGCAGAAAUAUUUAACAUUAGCAAUGGAGUGUGGUUAAUUUUCUUAGUUAAAGCAGUUUUGUAUAUGAAAGUUCUACAAAAAUAAAGACUUUGUUAUUUAAAAAAGUAGUAUAUAUAUAUAUAUAUAUAUAUAUAUAUAUAUAUAUAUAUAUAAAAUACAUAUUUAAAUGGAUAUAAAAAAAAAGUUUUCAAUUUAAACAAAAGGGAUGUGGCUGUACACUACUAGUCAAACGUUUUGGAAAAACUAGGGCUUCUUAUGAUUACAUUACAUCCAUAUCACAGCACUGUUGAACUCUUGAUUCUGACUGGGUCAAGUUCUCCGACACAGGAAUGUCGGAAAAAUGAAGGACAUUGUACUUUGUCAGUAACAUGACACGUUUCAUUGUCUUAUUAACUUCAAGAGAGAGGACAAAAAGAGAUCCUGGUGAGAGAACUGGUUAUAGCUGUUACAAUUUAAACGAUACCAGGAACAAGCUAGUUGCAUGGAUGUUUCACCCCAUUAAAUGCAACUAUAAAUGGAUAAAAAUGAUGUGGAAAUUCACUAACAAAAAUAUACAUGAUUUGGAUUACAAAAAUAUGCAUUUUCGAAACUUUGACGGUUAAAGUAAAUGGUUCUGUUACGAUAGCCGUGAAAACCGUGCUCCAUAGUUAGGGAUAAAAACAACUUACAUUUUGUAAUAAGCGAAAAACCCCAAAACAAAACAAAACAAGCACCCUAACAUUUUGAAGUGAAAUAAAUAAAUAAAUAAAUAAAUCAAUCACAGAUGGUCUCUCUUUCUCUUCUUUUUGAGUUUUGCACUGUCGGUCCAUGAACACCAAUUUGACUUGCCAGAGACAGCGACUUUUUCAGCUCCGAGUGUGGCAUCUAGAUCAUUAUCUGGGUCUCUUACUUGCUUCUUUUUCUUAAUAUGUACUAAUAAUGCACCCCCUGAGGAUGAAAUACUGUCCUUUUUAGCAUGGCAUGUGUCUAAAGCAUCUCUUGAUUCUUCUGCAGCAAAUAGCUUAGGUACAACAUCUAAAAUCUGAUUCCCACCUCUAUCAACUGUGUCCUUUCUAUUCUUUUUCUUCUUCUCCUUCUCAAUUAUUGCUUCUGAAGGUUCUGAUGGAGAACCACUCUCCUGCCACAAUUCAUGUUCAACAAUCUCAGGAUACACUUCUAUGUCUGUUUCUACCCAUUGCUGCUUCUUCUUCUUCUUCUUCUUUUUCCUUCCAUUAGGCUGUAUGGUAUCCUCUGACUGCAGUACUUGUUGGCUACUUUCAGAACGGUCAUCUUUGGUCCUCUCACAUUUGUUUGUCUCAUUGGUGUCAUUUUGUCCACUACUUGAAGCUUCUUUCACUACUCUUGUCUGUUUAGUAUUUUGCCAAUGGGAGUCAUCCAGAUGCAACAAGCCGUGAGAAACCGACCACGAUCCAUCAUUUUCCAACUCUUUCCUUUUCCUCUUCUUUUUCUUCUUCUUCACUGGUUCUGAUCCACCAACACCUUCCUCCUCACCAAUCCCUCCAGUCUCACUUCUGGUGCUUGGGGUAUUGGAUGUUGUCAUCUCUAUGAGAUCAAGUCUGAGAGACACGGAUGCAUUUUUAGACGUCUCCUCUUCUUGAUGCGUUUUAAUUCUGCCCUUUUUCUUCUUUGGCUUUCUCACCAGAACCACCUCAGCUGCUUGCUGCUCAGAAUCUUGAGUAUUUGGAGCCUCCACUUGUUCUGUCGUCUCUACCAACAAUGCCUCAACGUCCAUAUUUUCUUCCCUGACCACCUUUUGCCGUUUCCUUUUUUUCCUCUUCUUCCUUUGAGUUAUAGAGUGAUCUGUCAAAUCUAUGCUAUUCACUGGUUGGAUUUCUAUGCCUGCUGGUAUUUCGGGGAUUUUCUCCAACGGUUCUCCAAUAUUCUUACUGGCCGUAGCCAUCUCUCCUACUUGUCCUUCUCCAACAUCAUCUAUAAACAUUUUCUUCUUUUUCUUGACAGUUUUGAUACCAUGGCUUGAAUAAGAUUCUUCACUACACUGCCAAGCCACGAUCUCAGUUAUCACAGGACUUGAAUCCUGUUUCGUCUUCGCCCUUUUCUUUUUCUUUUUCCUUUGUGGUUCAAGACAAUCAGACUGAACAAAAUUAGAAAGAUCAGUUCUGGUCAGCUGCUCAGUUUCCUCAGCUAUAGACACCAAAGAAGCUGAACCUUGACAGGGGAUCUGGAUAGCCUCCUCUACACCAAUCCAUUCAUCUUCCUGAGGCACUGGUUGACCAUGUUUGUCUUUUUUUCUCUUUUUCUUUGGUUUAAUUCCAUUCACUGAAGCACAAACCACUGAAGAGUCCUGAACUGAUAGACCAGAGUCUGCAGCAACACUGAUGUCUGGCAAGGUGUCAACUGGUUCCUCCAACAACCGAUCAUUUUUGUCCUUUUUUCUCUUUGGUUUACUUCCACUAACUGAAGCACAAACCACUGAAGAGUCCUGAACUGACAGACUCGAGUCUGCAGCAACACUGAUGUCUGGCAAGGUGUCAACUGGUUCCUCCAACAACCGAUAAUUUUUGUCCUUUUUUCUCUUUGGUUUACUUCCACUAAGUGAAGCACAAACCACUGAAGAGUCCUGAACUGACAGACUCGAGUCUGCAGCAACACUGAUGUCUGGCAAGGUGUCAACUGGUUCCUCCAACAACCAAUCAUUUUUGCCCUUUUUUCUCUUUGGUUUACUUCCACUAACUGAAGCACAAACCACUGAAGAGUCCUGAACUGACAGACUCGAGUCUGCAGCAACACUGAUGUCUGGCAAGGUGUCAACUGGUUCCUCCAACAACCAAUCAUUUGUGCCCUUUUUUCUCUUUGGUUUACUUUCACUAACUGAAGCACAAACCACUGAAGAGUCCUGAACUAAUAGACCUGAGUCUGCAGCAAUACUGAUGUCUGGCAAGGUAUAAACUGUUUCCUCCAACAACCGAUCAUUUUUGACCUUUCUUCUUUUUUUACGCUUGACGUCAUCAAAGUGAAGUGCAGAAUAUUCAUUCUGACCCAAAUCAGCUUGUCUUGGUGCCAGGUUAUCUGAGAUCUCAGGGUCUUUAGUCUUUUUAUUUUUCUUCCUCUUCAGAAAUUUCAAUCCACCAAAAUUGAACAGUGGGGUCUCGGUCUUCUCUUCCUGUCUGACCAUGAGGAUAUCCUUACUACAACUUGAGUAAUCAUUUCCUAUGGAUCCUGAUUCGUAAUCCUCUAAUGGCAGUGAUGAAUGAUGGUGUGGAUCUUGCAUAUCCAAUGUCGUCUUGUCCUUUUCCUUUCUUACCUGGCAUAUAUCUCCAGCUGUUGGUGAGACUAUUUCACUCGGGUGAGUCCUCAGAGAUUUGGAAUAUUUAAGAAAGUCACCCUCCAUAUCUUCCAAGAUUAAUGAACCCUUUUUCUUUAUUAUCAAACCUAUGUCAUCAUGUGGUACUACAAUGCUUUCUAAGACUUCCUUAUCAUUUUCAACACUAGUCUCUUUUAAAGGACUUGAUUGAUUAUUUGGUUCUUGAAAAAGAUCCUGUGAGCUGAUGAAACCUCCACUAACACUACCAAAGUCUUCGUUUUCCAGUGGCUCGUGAUGUACGCUUUGAUGGAUAUCCUGGACUUGUACUUGGUGUUCACAGGAUGAGAUGUUCUCAAAGCAGAGUGCAUCUUCCUUUCCUUCUUUGUCCGUAGGGUUGUCCUGCAAAAUCUGGGUUUCGUUUCCAAGUGGCUCAUGAUGUACGCCUUGAUGGAUAUCCUGGACUUGUACUUGGUGUUCACAGGAUGAGAUGUUCUCCAAGCAGGGUGCAUCUUCCUUUCCUUCUUUGUCCGUAGGAUUGUCCUGCAAAAUCUGGGUUUCGUUUCCAAGUGGCUCAUGAUGUACGCCUUGAUGGAUAUCCUGGACUUGUACUUGGUGUUCACAGGAUGAGAUGUUCUCCAAGCAGGGUGCAUCUUCCCUUCCUUCUCUGUCCAUAGGGUUGUCCUGCAAAAUCUGGGUUUCGUCUUCAUCCUGGUCUACCAAAUUUGGCCGCUGCGUCUCCUCGUCUGACGUUUCAUCAAUUGGUUCCAUCCAGUUCCAUUCGGCAGAUUUCCUGCUUUUCUCACCGUUCUCCGUGGACCGAGACACUUCUAUAUUAAGUGAGCUGCUCUCAUUAUAUACAUCUGCAUCAUCUUGAGGCGCCAUCAGGUCUUCAGCAACUUUCCUGGUUUGAGAACACGUCUCCUGCUCCUCUUGACAUUUGUUGCUUUUCUUAGUGCACGUUUCUGGAGCCUGUCUCGUUUUCCAUUUCAGGGAUGGUAGCCAUGUUUGUUGGUUUCUUUUAUGUGUGUUCUCAAUAAAGCAAUCUUUAUCCUAAAACAAAAUCAGACAUAUUGAUUAACAAUAAUAAAAUGUCUGUUUGAUGGCUUGAGAGAAAACUAAAGAAUAACUAGAAAAGAAUGAAACAAUCAAUCAUGACGUUUCUGAAAAGUCAAAUGCUAAAACGACGAUGCAGAAUUACAAAUUUUGACUUCAAAACGGCAUUCAAAUGGAUCCUUGUUACUUGACGAACCUGCCACCCCUGAAGUCACAGAUACAAUGCAGUAAACAGUUUUUUUUUUAAACUUUCAGUCCCUCAAAGAAACCUUGAAAUGGUUCUAAAUGGCAGACAUUUUCACUGUUAAUCUGUUGCUGCUCAAAAAAGUGUUGCACUUACCAUUUAAGUUAUUUGUGAAGUGAUACAUUUGACAAAUUUUUGAACUUUUUCAGUCGAAAAAUUUGGUGUAUCCCUAAAUCACUAAUGCUUAAACUAAUGAGCAUUUGGUAGGAAACGGGGUGGGGCCAGCAAGGGUGUCAGUUAAAACUGCAACUGUCAGUAAUUCCAAAUUCAUAUGUUGAUUGGCUAAUUUGUGGUUUUAUUAGAUUUAUUUGCUCAUUUGCUGUUUUAUUAUUUUUUAAUUAUUAUUCAGGGUUUUUGUCCUAUUCAGUUUUUUGUUGCAUGGCAAAAAGUGAAAACAUCACAACUGUCAAAAUAUAACUGCAAAAUAUACCACUUUUUUAACGUCCUCAUCAUCAUCAUCAUCUUCUGUUUGCAUACUGCUUUCCUUCCGUCUGUAAAUUAAAUCCGAAAAAAGUCAAUAAAAGGACAGACGAAUAAAAUAGAUUAAUAUUGUGUAUUAAUAUGUUCACUCACCUCUUGACUGAAAUGAAAACAGCAAGAGUUUUCUGACAUGGAUUCAAUGUUUAUAACAUUCCUACCACAGCACUACUGUACUCGCAAUUCAGUUUUUUUGCAAGGUGUUGAUUCAUUUCAGCAGCUCCGAUUGUCUUUUCGGCUGCAAUUCCGACGACAGGUUUAUUUUAAUUUGCUCGUUCUAAUACGUUAUGAUAACAAAUGACACCAGGACUUGUAUGCUCGGACGCUCCACAUAAUUGUAACUGUUGAUAAAAUUUCUGUUAGAUGUCGAUUCAUUCAUUUAUUUAUGGAAGGAGUCACCGGUGGCAGCACUCUGUUUUCCACCACAGGAAAGUCUUCAGGACAGAAAAGAUCCUAGUUCCUCAGGAACAUGACAAAAUGAUCAACUUCAAGAAAGGUUGGUGAGGGGACUCAUGGACCUUCAAGAAUGUCAACCCUAACUAUAACUGGUUAAUAAGUACAUAAUUUAUUAGUAUACUGAGUAUAAUGUAAUCUUCGUUAUAGGAAAAUGAUCAACUUCACGGUCCUAACAGUAAGUCCUGCUUACUAAGGCUGCUCCACACCACUACAUUGUAGAUCUUUUUCCUCCAACAGCAUGGCCAAUGUCAAAUUACACGCUUCAACAGAAACAAAUAUAAAACCUACACAAUACUGUAUUCAUGUUUUGUAUAAUACAAUGGUAAACUCACUCAGAAAGCAAUAAAGAUGGACUCAGCUCUCCUCUUCUUUUGUCUCCAUGACCUUUGCUCAGCUUCAAUAUGCAUUUAAAGAACCCACCAACCUCUGAAUUCUGAUAGACGGAAAUAAAAUUAUAAAACGAUUACCUUCACCUUAUAUAGCUGGAACGAAAUGUAAUUUAUCUAAAAUUGAAGAAGAAGAAAAAAAGUUUCCAGACAUUUCCAUUUUCUGAGAAUGCACUUAAAUUGUUGCCAUUCCUUUAACAUUCGGCUGAUAGAUACAGUGCACUCCAUUAAUAUUGGCACCCUUGGUAUAUAUGAGCAAAGACGGCUGUGGUUGUGAUCUUUUGUUAAAAAAAAAAAAAAAAAAAAUUUCACAUAAAAAUACUCUGCUCUCAUGGAUAUCAAACAAUUGCACAAAAUAAGUUUAUCAAAAAAAUAACUUCUAUACAAUAUUUAUUUUUUUUUUAAUUAGAAUAUGUUAUAUACAAAAUAUACAAUGUGCAACAAUUAUUGGCACCACUAUGAGUUCAUGAGAAAAUAUAUUUUAAGUAUAUUCCCAUUGAUAUUUGAAAAAAAAAAAUUGUACAACAAAAUUUUUUUGGAUAAACCCGUGUCGUGUUUGCAAUCGUUUGAUAUCCAUGAGAGCAGAGUAUUUUUGUGAAUUUUUUAAACAAAAGAUCAAAAGUUUCAACAAUAAAGACAAUUUUUCACAGCCUUCUUUGCUCAUAUUUACCAAAGGUGCCAAUAUUAGUGGAGGGCACUCUAUAAGUCUAAAUUAGAUUAAUUAUUAAUUUAAAGUCUUAUUUAUAGAACAAUUUAAAUGAUAAUAGUGUACCAUGGUUUGGG
ensembl:lncRNA